CUUCCUUUAAGUCUGAGAGGGUUACUCAGAUAGGAGUUGGAGAAGUGGAGUCAGACAGGAGCCCUACAGAAGCUCCAGGGCCUGUGAUCAGGCUGGCCUGAGGCCAGAGGAAAUGCCAUCCCACCUGCAAGCCUGCUCAACCUCUUCAGACCCAGGAUGGGAGCAUCAAGGAAGAACUACAGCCGCCAGCACCACCCCAGCCCCAACUUCAGUCAUGGCCACUCCUCAGAUAAUAGGUCACUGAAGGGACCCCGGUUAUGCAGGGACCCCACUCCCUCCCUCCAGAAAAUGAUUUGGUUCCAAUGCAGAGAUGGCUUUUCAAACCAGAAUCUUUCUCACAAGUGUCUCCUCAGGACACAGCUCACCGUGAGGUUUCUUGAAGCUCUUUCUGGGUCAAGAUCUGAUCAGGAUUCUAACGUUAAGAGGAGCCAGCAGAGAGCUGUCUUUGUACCCUGGCUCUGAGGAAGGUUUGUGGGAUAGACCGCGUGUGGCCUGAAAGAGCUCGCAUUUCAGGGAACGCCUGGGCUUGAUGCCUGUUAUCUUAUUCAGUGCCUCUGAUUAUAAAUUAAUAAACUGGACUCUCACCAACAAUUGGUCUCGUGUGAGU